GACGAACGCUGGCGGCGUGCCUAAUACAUGCAAGUUGAGCGCUGAAGGUUGGUACUUGUACCAACUGGAUGAGCAGCGAACGGGUGAGUAACGCGUGGGGAAUCUGCCUUUUAGCGGGGGACAAUAUUUGGAAACGAAUGCUAAUACCGCAUAAAAACUUUAAACACAAGAUUUAAGUUUGAAAGAUGCAAUUGCAUCACUCAAAGAUGAUCCCGCGUUGUAUUAGCUAGUUGGUGAGGUAAAGGCUCACCAAGGCGAUGAUACAUAGCCGACCUGAGAGGGGGAACGGCCACAACGGGACCGAGAACCGGCCCAAGCUCCCACGGGAGGCAGCAGUAGGGAAACUUCGGAAAUGGACGAAAGGCUGACCGAGCAACGCCGCGUGAGUGAAGAAGGGUUUCGGAUCGUAAAACUCUGUUGGUAGAGAAGAACGUUGGGGAGAGUGGAAAGCUCAUCAAGUGACGGUAACUACCCAGAAAGGGACGGCUAACUACGUG
rnacentral:rRNA from 1 species